AGAGCAUCUGACUGUUAAUCAGAGGGUCGUUGGUUCAAGUCCAACCUGAAGAG
rnacentral:tRNA from 1 species